GUGAAUCAUCGAAUCUUUGAACGCACCUUGCGCUCCUUGGUAUUCCGAGGAGCAUGCCUGUUUGAGUGUCAUAAACCUCUCAAACCCAAGUUUUGGAUUUAUCCUUGCUUGAGUUUGGAUUUGGGUGUUUGCCAGUGAUGAACUGACUCACCUUAAAAGUAUUAGCUAGAUCUGUCUUUGACUGGUUUGACUUGGCAUAAUAAGUAUUUUGCUGAGGACAUCUUCGGAUGGCCAGGACCUAGACUAUUGUCUGCUAACUAAACCAUCACUUUAAGUGCAUCUUCGGAUGUUACUCAUUGUGUAACUUUGACAUCUGGCCUCAAAUCAGGUAGGACUACCCGCUGAACUUAA
rnacentral:rRNA from 1 species